CAUCUGUUAGAUCAACUUAAUAAGAUUCUAUUACUAAAUUUUUGUGGAAACCAGGAUUAUGUUGAUACCAUAUGUUUCUUUAUUUUCUUUUGUUCUUGAGAGGACAACUCCAAUUCUGGGUACUAAUUGUUGUGUGCAUAUGCUUUUAUCACCACUAGUGUACUUUUUUUGAGCUUUGCAUCUAUUGACACGGCAAAAUCUUUUAUUGGUGCUUCUUUUUCCAUAGUAUUCCUAUAACUGACCUUUCUCUGCUUCUUGCAGUUGCUUUUUUUGCAGAACAUGUAUUCAUCUGCUUACAAUAGCAUUUGCAGUCAAUCGAGCUCUGUGAAUAUCAUUAAAGAGUUUAUACUCAGUAAAUCUUGUUCGUGUUCGAAGUUACAAUAGGUAUUAUUGCUUUUCACAGACUACAGAUGGAGGGAAAGGAACCAAGAUAAGGAGACCGAAUCAAUCAAUAUACCAGAUUCUGGAUAAUAAACAUACCUAUAAACAUAGUUGGGAUUACAAUUAAGGGUGGAUUCGAACUGAGCCCAGAACCAGCUUAAGCUUAAGCUUCAGAAAAAAAUCAACUAGUUUUCCCAGAGCUUUUAUUUGUAUAUAACAGAAGAGUUGCUGUAUAACUCAGCAUCCCCCAAAACCAUCACUACUGCAACCACCACUACCACUUUCUCCGCCACCCAUGAAACCACUGCUACCACUGCUGUCACCUUCACAACUACCACACUUGCACAGUUGCCUGCACCACUAAAUCCACAUCCUCAUCAUUACUCAAACAAGCUGCAGUGGCUGUAGUUGUUACAGCAGCUAAUGGCACUCCAGCUUGAAAUGCAGUUAUGCCAUCUUUUGAGCCGCUACUGCCUGAAAUUGGCUCCUUCUAACUUCAGGUUAUGCGCUAUAAGGCACAGCGUUAGCUCUGUUAUUCACAGUUGUGGUUGUGGGAAACUUAACGUCUUUCUUUUUGGUGCUACUUUGCAUCGAAAAAGUAGAAGUAGAAUUGAUUUAAUCGCAGAGCCACAGGCAAUCAGGGCAAUAGCAUAUACCUCCAUCUUUCUUAAGGGUGCAAUAACGAGGACUAUCAGGGCUUGCAUUUAUGGAAGUAGGAUUGUGUGAAUAUAUUGUAAUGCAGGGAGUUGCGCAGAAGCUUACUUUGAGCACAGUGAGAGGUUUGACUGGAGUUUUCUCUUGCUUGUGGACUUUGUUGUUCCAAACAAUUUGCUGAGCAAAUUUGAUGAAGGUCUAUGUGAGGAAUAAAAUUAACAAGAAAAGGAGUGCCAGCGGUGGCUCAAGAGAGGCUACUGAAGACCAGCAAAAUGAGGCCAUUGGAAAUGGAGCAGAAGCAGUAAAACAGUUUCAACUAAGAAGCAGCAAUCUUGCAGCAGAAGCCAAGAGGACCAUAGCAACUCCUAUACCUGAUGUGGCACUACAAGAGCGGGAAAGCAACAGGGGAAGGCAGGAUAUAAAAAGGGAGGAGGAAGAGAAAAAGGGGAUAAGCAAUUAAGAGGAAAGAGAACAGCAGGAAGGGGCCAACCUCUCGGGGUUUGGAUGACUGCAGAAGAUUGAUUUUGAUUUUGUACUUCGGUGUUGUGUUUAGAUCGCAUGUCGAAUUGAAUUAAUGUAUUUGAACUGAGUACUGUAGAAGAACAGUUUAUUCAUUGAAGCAAUCUGAAUUAAUACAAUUGUUGAUAUUGUUGUGUGU